rnacentral:rRNA from 1 species
ACGAGCGCUGGCGGCGUGCCUAAUACAUGCAAGUUGAGCGCUGAAGGUUGGUACUUGUACCAACUGGAUGAGCAGCGAACGGGUGAGUAACGCGUGGGGAAUCUGCCUUUGAGCGGGGGACAACAUUUGGAAACGAAUGCUAAUACCGCAUAAAAACUUUAAACACAAGUUUUAAGUUUGAAAGAUGCAAUUGCAUCACUCAAAGAUGAUCCCGCGUUGUACUAGCUAGUUGGUGAGGUAAAGGCUCACCAAGGCGAUGAUACAUAGCCGACCUGAGAGGGUGAUCGGCCACAUUGGGACUGAGACACGGCCCAAACUCCUACGGGAGGCAGCAGUAGGGCAUCUUCGGCAAUGGACGAAAGUCUGACCGAGCAACGCCGCGUGAGUGAAGAAGGUUUUCGGAUCGUAAAACUCUGUUGGUAGAGAAGAACGUUGGUGAGAGUGGAAAGCUCAUCAAGUGACGGUAACUACCCAGAAAGGGACGGCUAACUACGUG